CUCCUUUCUAAUUGGGGUUCCCCAUCUUUGUAGCUGCGGUUUAAUGGCUCCAAGAAGAGCGAUUGUCUCUCAUUAAGGAGGCUGCAACACUCUCACUGUCUAACUCCCUCCCACGCAGCUCACAACUUCAUUCUGCCGGAGAACAGGCUGCCAAGAGGCUCCGGGAACCUGCGGGCAAGCUGAGCUGGAGGAAGAAAACAGAAAGGAGGAGGGCCUUUGUAACCAAGAUCUGAAAUGUGCUGGGGCACACACCCCGCCAUUAUCUUAACGUUUGAAGAGCGGGUCGGGGGAGCCUUUGCUGAAACCCUUAGGUGGUCUCUCAAGUUGCCACAUCAAACCUCUGUGCACAAAGGGCAUUUGUCGCCUCCUGUUUCCCUGGCUGGAAGGGAGGAGGCCUCCAGUGUGCAGGAGGUCAGAUGGACGCCUGGGAUCUCAGCUCAGCAACCCAGCCUGGCCGCAUAGCCUCUUUCUGAGGAGCAGCAGAACCCCCGAGCCACAGCGGGCUUCCACCCACACAAAUGUGCCCAGCAGUCUAGCACCUGUCACCUGGGGUCAUCCUGCUCUUCUUGGCCACGUGAGGUGCUGGUCACCUUACCCAACCUGCGGCCUCUACACAGAGAGGCCUUGGGGGAGAGGAAAAGCUUCUCCAGUGAUUGAUGUCAGCAGCUCACCGAGGAAGUUGCUGAUAUCAGUUGCUACUCUCGUUUCUUUUGAUGGAUUCGCUGCCUAGGCCCCGCUCCUUGGGUCAGGUGUGGAAGGGGUGCCUUGGGAACCAUUCCCACCAUUUGCCAUCAUCGUGUGCUGGAGGAAGGAGCCUAACCGUUUCUGCUCCCACUGCAGCUUGGACAGCCUCUGAGGAGACAAGGUGAAGGCUCUCCCAUCACAGCGGUAGGGCCUCUGCAGAAGCCUCCAGCCCAGGGAACGCCGUCACCCCAGCCUCUGCAGAGCACCCUGUGGCUUUCUCUCCAACCCACACGCCAGAGAUUGUUUUCAAAAUCUAGGGUGGGAAAGGCCGCAGGGAAGGAAUCCCCUGGAUUGCCAGUGGCCCAUCAAG
rnacentral:lncRNA from 1 species